AUGAUGUGAUUGACAUCUUUGCCUCAGUGCCUUAGAUCUGUAGCUGCUUCCAACAUGCUGCAAUUGGUUCAUUUCCCUUCCAAUCAUAGUGCUUGAAGGGAGGGACGUAGAACUGUAUCUUAUAAGAUGUCUGAGCCAAACCUCCACCUUUCUGCGAGCAACUCUUUACAGGAGUGUUGGGAAGAAUGAGGCACUGAUGGAGAACUUCUUGAGAGACUUCCUGAAUGUACAGAGUCAUAAGGAGGAGGUCUUUUGAGACUUAAGGGGGACUGCUGACUUGCGAUAAGGAGGAAUCCCUACUUAGUGUCGACUUUGUGGGUCCAUGCUUUUUGAUGUACGCCUCAUCAAAAGAUGCACUUAGCUGAGUGUUUGGAUUUCGUUUCGGCUUAGGAGGAGGAAC